UACAGAGGUGGCAAGCGUUGUUCGGAAUUACUGGGCGUAAAGGGCGCGUAGGCGGCCUCUUUAGUCAGACGUGAAAUCCCCGGGCUCAACCCGGGAACUGCGUCCGAUACUGGCAGGCUUGAAUCCGGGAGAGGGAUGUGGAAUUCCAGGUGUAGCGGUGAAAUGCGUAGAUAUCUGGAGGAACACCGGUGGCGAAGGCGGCAUCCUGGAUCGGUAUUGACGCUGAGGCGCGAAAGCCAGGGGAGCAAACGGG
rnacentral:rRNA from 1 species